rnacentral:rRNA from 1 species
CCUACGGGCGGCAGCAGUGGGGAAUAUUGGACAAUGGGCGAAAGCCUGAUCCAGCCAUGCCGCGUGUGUGAAGAAGGCCUUCGGGUUGUAAAGCACUUUCAGUGGGGAAGAAAGCCUUGGGGCUAAUACCCUCGAGGAAGGACAUCACCCACAGAAGAAGCACCGGCUAACUCCGUGCCAGCAGCCGCGGUAAUACGGAGGGUGCGAGCGUUAAUCGGAAUUACUGGGCGUAAAGCGCGCGUAGGCGGUCUGAUAAGCCGGUUGUGAAAGCCCCGGGCUCAACCUGGGAACGGCAUCCGGAACUGUCAGGCUAGAGUGCAGGAGAGGAAGGUAGAAUUCCCGGUGUAGCGGUGAAAUGCGGAGAGAUCGGGAGGAAUACCAGUGGCGAAGGCGGCCUUCUGGACUGACACUGACGCUGAGGUGCGAAAGCGUGGGUAGCAAACAGGAUUAGAUACCCCAGUAGUC